rnacentral:tRNA from 1 species
AAAUGCCUAGAUGAGUUCUCCCAACUCCAUAAACA